rnacentral:rRNA from 1 species
AUUGAACGCUGGCGGCAGGCCUAACACAUGCAAGUCGAGCGGAGCGGCGGACGGGUGAGUAAUGCCUAGGAAUCUGCCUGGUAGUGGGGGAUAACGUCCGGAAACGGGCGCUAAUACCGCAUACUAUCAGAUGAGCCUAGGUCGGAUUAGCUAGUUGGUGGGGUAAAGGCCUACCAAGGCGACGAUCCGUAACUGGUCUGAGAGGAUGAUCAGUCACACUGGAACGGAGACACGGUCCAGACUCCUACGGGAGGCAGCAGUGGGGAAUAUUGGACAAUGGGGGCAACCCUGAUCCAGCCAUGCCGCGUGAGUGAUGAAGGCCCUAGGGUUGUAAAGCUCUUUUGUGCGGGAAGCGGUACCGCAAGAAUAAGCCCCGGCUAACUCCGUGCCAGCAGCCGCGGUAAUAC